GGAAAGAGACCAAAUAUAUUCUAAAUGGUAGCUAAAGACUAUUUUCAAUUGCUAAGCAUCUUGGCUAUACUCUAUGAUUGUGGCAACCUUUAAAUUAUGCCCCACAGACCCCCUACUUAGGGGAGAAUAACUAACCAACAGCCCCAUAUGCCAUACAAUGAAUCAUCUUUAAGUGGAAUGAUAAUUGGCCCAAGAGGAGAAUACAAACUGAUCCCUGGCCAUCUAGUCCAGGUCCAGAAGAAAGAGGAUUAGAAAAAUCAGAGAUGAGGAAAUACAGGAAAAGGCAUAUGAUACAAAAAAUCUGCCCAUCUUGUAUAUGCGUAUCUUAAUAUCCACAAGCCCUGAUGAGGCAUUGAACAACCAAACAGAAAAAAUAAUUCUACAGUUUACAGUGAGUUUUUAUCAGCCAAUGGGUAAGUAAGCAGUGGCCAUAGUUGCAGAGAUGGAAGCUACUUAUGUGCCCAGCUACAUGGAAUGUCAGUUUUCAAAGACAAUCUAGCUACUGUUGCCUCUGGAUGCCCAGCCUGUCAGAAGUGACCACUGAAUCCCCUAUGUAGCACUAUUUGUUAAGGACACCACUUGCCACUUGGUAGCAAAUUGACUACCUUAACUACAUUAAGCCUCUUCUAUUCUAGAAAAGUCAGAAAUUCAACCUCCCAGGAAUAGAUAUCUAAUAUUGGACUGGGUUUAUCUGGGGGCUUCUGCAGUGUUCCAUCCAUUAGCCUGGAUGGCACAGAGCAAAGCACCUGACCAAUGGACUCACUUCACAGCAAAGUAAAUGUUGACUGGGUCCUCUGAUCAUGGGGUCUGCUGUUCAUACCACAAGACACACAACCAUUCAAAAGGAGCUAACCUAGCCUCUUAGACAGCUGAAAGAGCAUUCAGAAAGCAUAGCAGAAGCACUAACUCAGAGUUAACAUGCUGUAAGUUUGGGAUUAGUUCUGUCAGCAUGCAGUCUGUUUAUUAAAGAGACAUCUGUAAAAAGAGGGGGUGGGGAAGAGAUCUGUAUAUUAUUUUGUCCCUGUGAGGGAGACCACAUGGGCACAAGAACCAGGAGGUAAAAGCAAGAGCAGUCCCAUUGUCCAUCACUCCAAAAUGGCACAUUGAUUUCAUAAGUCAUCAUAGUUGCAAGGAUAACUGACUCUGAUCAGGAGGAGGCUGAGCUACUUUUACAUGAUGGAGCAAAUAAAAAUAGGUGAACCCAACUGAUCUGCUUGGAUAUCUCUUCAUACUUCUUUCACUGUCCCAUGGUAAUUGAUACACAUUAAUACACUCAGCAUCCCAGGUUUGAAAAAUUUUGAGUGGUAAGAGUUCAGACCACUUAAGAUAAUGGUUUGGGUCAUACCACCAGGUAAGUUAAACUUCAAAUGAGGUGAUAGCCAAGGGUGAAGAGAAUUUAGAGUAAAGAGUAGAGGCAGGAGAAGAUGGGUAUCAGUUGUGACCCAAGGUCAGCUCCAGCAAGGGUUGCUGUAUUUCAUCCCAUUUAUCCUCUUUGAGUUUUGGUCUGGAAGAGAGGCCCAUGGGAACCAUGGAUUUGCUGCUCUGGGGACCCGUGUAGAGAAGUAGAUCUGCCAGCACAAAGGGCAGACUGUGGGGGCUGUUAGAAUGCCAUGCUUCCCGCAGGUUGUAUCCACCCAGUGGCUGAGUGCAGCAGGGACACCUAGGCAGGCCUAUUCCUGGAAGCUUGGGGCUCCUCUGAGAAGUGGUUUUUGGUCUGUUACUGUCCUUGACCUUAUCAAGGCAGUUAGUGUUGCACAGCAGGCUAAGUCACUGCCUACUAAACAUUUCAUCCUCCUUGUUCCUUCACAGGCAAUGUUCUAAUGGCUAUCCCGCAAUCUUCCAGCUCCCUCAUCUCUUUCCUUCACAGGUUUUAUAUCAAAAAAUAGAAAUUUUAAGUAAUCCAAUUCUGGCAUCUGCAUCUCAAGGGACACAAAACAACAAUAUAGAUGGAAGUUUUGAGUCCCAACUAAAGGCUGAAGCACUAUAGUCCAUUCAGCUGUGAAAAUAAGCCUAUACACACAUAUAGCCUACUUAUAUAUCCAUAAGCCUGCUCCACUCAGAGCUAAGAUGAUCGAUCAUCCAUCCGGGGCAGGGGAGGGCGAGGUGCAGCCCUGAGUCACCUUAGCAUUAUGGAUAGUAACAGUCCCACACUGAUGUGAUUUCUGUGGUAUGUGGAUCUUCCUUUCCAGAAGUCAUUCCCUUCCCCUUCCUAUCCCAAUAUUUCACCAUUUGCAAAGUUACCUCCUCACAUUUGCUCAUGAUAGUUUUGGAUUCUUCUGUUCCAAUCUUCUCAUGCUCUACCAUACACUAUUUCUUUCUACUGACCCAGAUCAACUCAUGACUUUCCUGGGCUUACUUACCCACUUUUGGCCCCCAAAUGUCCCCAUCCUGACAAGAAGCUAAUCACCAAGUAACAAAAAUAAGUGGCUAAAAGGACCCAGACUGAUGAGCGUGGCCAGGACUCAGAUCCAUUCCUUUGGAUCAAUGACUCACUGGUUCCAGGCUGACAGGAGCCUGGACAGUUCUUUAUUACCAGUGUUAGCAAAAGGGCUAGCCUUAUUAACCAUGACACCACUCAGCUAACCCUUCAUAUGGCAUAUGGUGUCACCACUAAGUUUCUUCCUUCCUUACAAGCUUCUGUCAUUUCUAGAUGUCCCAGAAGUGGCGGUAGCUUCCUAGGGGUUUUUUUGUUGUUGUUUUUGACUUGUAUUAUUCAUGACAUACUACUUGAAAGCACCACCUUGCCUUUAUAAAAAUAGCAUAUGCCGAUAAAUUGAAUUUUUUAAGCAAGAUAGCCAUAUGGCUAUGGAAUCAUUUCCAUUUAUAUUGGCUUUAACAUAACCUUUCACACUCCCUUUAGGAUAUUCCUCCUUCCCACCUCAUUUUGCAUUAUUUUAGUCUGACAGCCUUUAAUUUUACUCUACUAUUUAGAUCCCCAAAUUUCAACUAGCAAGUUGAAGAAAAACAUUGCAGAUGAAGAAAACCAAAUAAUUCUAAUACCCACAUUUCUGGGAUAUUCCAUCAGGCUGUACCUCAUCAAGAAAUCUCCUCUGAACCCUCUCAGGACAGUACCUGGAGCUGCACUGAAGCCUCAGACCUUGCUAUCCACUGGGAACAGGGAAGCAGAACUUCCCCCGGACCUCUGAGCAAAGCCACGUCCCAUCCUGCACAAUCAUGUGGUGAUGUCUGAGACUCCUUAACCUGCUUCAGAGAAGGAACCAACUCAUCUCAUGACUUACGGUCACAAGUUAUACACACAGUGUGGAUGUGCCUUCAAAGCAGAGCCCCUUGACUUUCCCCACAAAAUCUAGUCAUCUUCUCAGGUCCCCCACCUGAGAGAACAUUUAGUUCUAAAAUGUCAUAGCAGUGUUGUGCCCAGAUUGGCUUCUCACAUAUAAAAUUAAAUGUUUUAGAAGAGAUCUGA